CCGCCAACGGUCUCCACUCUCCAGUCUCUCACGAAAUGUUGGAGCAUAGGGUUGUGCGCGGUCGCUCUUAAGUACUCGGCGUCAUUCGUGCUUGAUUUCGAGGAUUUUAUCCGUCUCUAAGGCACCGCGGCCGUUGACGGGAGGAUCGUGCUCUCAGUGUGUUGCCACACGCGCUGUGUCCAACGGUUACCCUCGUUCGACGCGACUGGCAUAGGGGCGUCGGCAUUUGGCAGGUGGACAAAACGGAUUCUCAACGAAGCUGGACUUAAAUUUCACGCAAGAAAGGCAAGCUGGACGGGCAUUAGAAAUCUCCUACGAAAAAAAGCUUCAUGCCAUUUUUUUUCGUCGUCACUGUUCGGACAUGGGGAGACAUCUCUGUGAACUUUCUCAUUGUGGAUUUAUGGUGUGUGUUGAUGAUUGACAGAAUACCUUCACAACAUGUAAGUGCUUAUUACGGUUUCUGUUCUUGGCAUUUCUAUGUCCUGCUAGCGAUUUUCAACCGCUUGGUGAAUACUCGCUCUUAUAAAAACAUCACAAAUAACUUUCACAGUUGUAUCUGCCACU